CAGUAGCCGCGGGAAUACGUAGGGUGCAAGCGUUAAUCGGAAUUACUGGGCGUAAAGCGUGCGCAGGCGGUUCUAUAAGACAGAUGUGAAAUCCCCGGGCUCAACCUGGGAACCGCAUUUGUGACUGUAGAGCUGGAGUACGGCAGAGGGGGAUGGAAUUCCGCGUGUAGCAGUGAAAUGCGUAGAUAUGCGGAGGAACACCGAUGGCGAAGGCAAUCCCCUGGGCCUGUACUGUCGCUCAUGCACGAAAGCGUGGGGAGCAAACAGGAUUAGAUACCCCGGUAGUCCCUGUCUCUUAUAC
rnacentral:rRNA from 1 species